rnacentral:rRNA from 1 species
AGAGUUUGAUCCUGGCUCAGGAUGAACGCUAGCUACAGGCUUAACACAUGCAAGUCGAGGGGAAACGACAUCGAAAGCUUGCUUUUGAUGGGCGUCGACCGGCGCACGGGUGAGUAACGCGUAUCCAACCUGCCCACCACUUGGGGAUAACCUUGCGAAAGUAAGACUAAUACCCAAUGACGUCUCUAGAAGACAUCUGAAAGAGAUUAAAGAUUUAUCGGUGAUGGAUGGGGAUGCGUCUGAUUAGCUUGGUUGGCGGGGUAACGGCCACCAAGGCUACGAUCAGUAGGGGUUCUGAGGAGGAAGGUCCCCCANAUUGGAACUGAGACACGGUCCAAACUCCGUACGGGAGGCA